UGGGGAAUAUUGGACAAUGGGCGCAAGCCUGAUGCAGCCAUGCCGCGUGAGUGAUGAAGGCCCUAGGGUUGUAAAGCUCUUUCACCGGGGAAGAUAAUGACGGUAACAGGAGAAGAAGCCCCGGCUAACACCGUGCCAGGAGCCGCGGUAAUACGGAGGGGGCUAGCGUUGUUCGGAAUUACUGGCCGUAAAGCGCACGUAGGCGGGUCGGUCAGUCAGAGGUGAAAUCCCGAAGCUUAACUUCGGAACUGCCUUUGAUACUGCUGAUCUAGAGUACGGGAGAGGUGAGUGGAAUUCCUAGUGUAGAGGUGAAAUUCGUAGAUAUUAGGAAGAACACCAGUGGCGAAGGCGGCUCACUGGCCCGGUACUGACGCUGAGGUGCGAAAGCGUGGGGAGCAAACAGGAUUAGAUACCCCCGUAGUCC
rnacentral:rRNA from 1 species